UUGGCAGUCUCAGAGAUCAAAUAUUUCUUUUUUUAUCAGCAGAGCAGAUAGAGUAUAGGGUCUAAAAACUUCCCAUAUGCCCCAAACCCCGACUCUAGAGAGUUUACCUAUGAAGGAUGAGAGGAUUUUUUAAGCUCUUGAGAGACUUUUUAAUUCUGGGGCAUU
rnacentral:sRNA from 1 species